rnacentral:rRNA from 1 species
AACGAACGCUGGCGGCAGGCUUAACGCAUGCAAGUCGAGCGCCCCGCAAGGGGAGCGGCAGACGGGUGAGUAACGCGUGGGAAUCUACCCAUCUCUACGGAAUAACGCAUGGAAACGUGUGCUAAUACCGUAUACGUCCUUCGGGAGAAAGAUUUAUCGGAGAUGGAUGAGCCCGCGUUGGAUUAGCUAGUUGGUGGGGUAAAGGCCUACCAAGGCGACGAUCCAUAGCUGGUCUGAGAGGAUGAUCAGCCACACUGGGACUGAGACACGGCCCAGACUCCUACGGGAGGCAGCAGUGGGGAAUAUUGGACAAUGGGGGCAAGCCUGAUCCAGCCAUGCCGCGUGAGUGAUGAAGGCCCUAGGGUUGUAAAGCUCUUUCACCGGUGAAGAUAAUGACGGUAACCGGAGAAGAAGCCCCGGCUAACUUCGUGCCAGCCGCCGCCGUAAAAC